UAAGCAUAUCAAUAAGCGGAGGAAAAGAAACUAACAAGGAUUCCCCUAGUAACUGCGAGUGAAGCGGGAAGAGCUCAAAUUUGAAAUCUGGCGGUUCUUGACCGUCCGAGUUGUAAUCUAGAGAAGUGUUUACCUGUGCUGGACCAUGUACAAGUCUUCUGGAAUGGAGCAUCAUGGAGGGUGAGAAUCCCGUCUUUGACAUGGACUGCCUGCACGUUGUGGUACGCUCUCGAAGAGUCGAGUUGUUUGGGAAUGCAGCUCAAAAUGGGUGGUAAAUGCCAUCUAAAGCUAAAUAUUGGCGAGAGACCGAUAGCGAACAAGUACCGUGAGGGAAAGAUGAAAAGAACUUUGGAAAGAGAGUUAAACAGUACGUGAAAUUGCUGAAAGGGAAACGCUUGAAGUCAGUCGCGUUGGCCGGAAAUCAGCCUUGCUUUUGCUUGGUGUACUUUCUGGUUCUACGGGUCAGCAUCAAUUUUGACCGCUGGAUAAAGGCCUUUGGGAAUGUGGCAUCUCUUUGGGGAUGUGUUAUAGCCCAUGGUCGUAUACAGCGGUUGGGAUUGAGGAACUCAGCACGCCGCAAAGGCCGGGUACCUUGGUACCACGUCUCCCGUGCUUAGGAUGCUGGCAUAAUGGCUUUAAUCRACCCGUCUUGAAACACGGACCAAGGAGUCUAACAUGCCUGCGAGUGUUUGGGUGGAAAACCCAUGCGCGCAAUGAAAGUGAAAGGUUGAGAUCCCUGUAAGAGGGGAGCAUUGACGCCCGGACCAGACCUUCUGUGACGGAUCCGCGGUAGAGCAUGUAUGUUGGGACCCGAAAGAUGGUGAACUAUGCCUGAAUAGGGUGAAGCCAGAGGAAACUCUGGUGGAGGCUCGUAGCGAUUCUGACGUGCAAAUCGAUCGUCAAAUUUGGGUAUAGGGGCGAAAGACUAAUCGAA
rnacentral:rRNA from 1 species